rnacentral:lncRNA from 1 species
GUAAGGUGAGGACAGUUUGAAGGUGUACCUCAGAGUUUACCAGGGAGAAAGAAGGCUAGCCAGGGAGUUAUCAUUUCAACAAAUGAACAGCCAUGACAACAAACUAAACUCAUGAAAGAAGAAAAACUUUGGAUGCCAUCAAAGUUGAUCAAGAUUCCAGUAGAAAAAGAAAAACCUCUCAAUGAGGAGAAAUGACAGCCAAUGAAGAACUGCCUAACAGCAAUCCUUAAACUCUCUGGAAAGAAAAUGGUACCCACCUCAUCGAGUCCACUGGAUCCAACUUGAUUGUUUUGAACUGACACUCUGGCCAGAGCUUCCAGUAGUGACUCCAAUUAACACAAGAACUUCAAUCAAGAAUAAGGACUUCAAUCUAGAUCUUCAAUCAAGCGUCUCCCACCACACAAG